rnacentral:pre_miRNA from 1 species
CAAGUACUCCCUCCGUCAGGAAUUACUUGUCAUCAAAAUGGAUGUGUCUAGAACUAAAAUACAUCUAGAUACAUCCAUUUCAAUGACAAGUAUUUUCGGACAGAGGGAGUACAAG